rnacentral:rRNA from 1 species
GACGAACGCUGGCGGCGUGCCUAAUACAUGCAAGUCGAACGCACGGGGGACGGGUGAGUAACACGUGGGUAACCUCCCAUCAGAGGGGAUAACAAGUGGAAACAGGUGCUAAACCGAUACUGAUGGAUGGACCCGCGGGGCAUUAGCUAGUUGGUGAGGUAACGGCUCACCAAGGCCACGAUGCAUAGGCGGCCUGAGAGGGUGGUCGGGCCCACUUGUACUGGGACACCGGCCCGACUCCUUCGGGAGGCAGCCGUAGGGAAUCUUCGGCAAUGGACGAAAGUCUGGCCGAGCAACGCCCCGUGAUGGAAGAAGUUUUUCGGAUCGUAAAGCUCUGUUGUUAGAGAAGCGGUAACUAACCAGAAAGGGACGGCUAACUCCGUGCCAGCAGCCGCGGUAAUUC